GUGACUGCGGCGUGCUUACCAUGCAAGUCGAACGAUGAACCUCCUUCGGGAGGGGAUUAGUGGCGAACGGGUGAGUAACACGUGGGCAAUCUGCCCUGCACUCUGGGACAAGCCCUGGAAACGGGGUCUAAUACCGGAUACGACACGGGAAGGCAUCUUCUUCGUGUGGAAAGCUCCGGCGGUGCAGGAUGAGCCCGCGGCCUAUCAGCUUGUUGGUGAGGUAACGGCUCACCAAGGCGACGACGGGUAGCCGGCCUGAGAGGGCGACCGGCCACACUGGGACUGAGACACGGCCCAGACUCCUACGGGAGGCAGCAGUGGGGAAUAUUGCACAAUGGGCGAAAGCCUGAUGCAGCGACGCCGCGUGAGGGAUGACGGCCUUCGGGUUGUAAACCUCUUUCAGCAGGGAAGAAGCGAAAGUGACGGUACCUGCAGAAGAAGCGCCGGCUAACUACGUGCCAGCAGCCGCGGUAAUACGUAGGGCGCGAGCGUUGUCCGGAAUUAUUGGGCGUAAAGAGCUCGUAGGCGGCUUGUCGCGUCGGUUGUGAAAGCCCGGGGCUUAACCCCGGGUCUGCAGUCGAUACGGGCAGGCUAGAGUUCGGUAGGGGAGAUCGGAAUUCCUGGUGUAGCGGUGAAAUGCGCAGAUAUCAGGAGGAACACCGGUGGCGAAGGCGGAUCUCUGGGCCGAUACUGACGCUGAGGAGCGAAAGCGUGGGGAGC
rnacentral:rRNA from 1 species